rnacentral:rRNA from 1 species
GAUGAACGCUGGCGGCGUGCUUAACACAUGCAAGUCGAACGGAAAGGCUCCUGCUUGCAGGGGUACUCGAGUGGCGAACGGGUGAGUAACACGUGGGUGAUCUGCCCUGCACUUCGGGAUAAGCCUGGGAAACUGGGUCUAAUACCGGAUAGGACGAUGGUUUGGAUGCCAUUGUGGAAAGUUUUUUCGGUGUGGGAUGAGCUCGCGGCCUAUCAGCUUGUUGGUGGGGUAAUGGCCUACCAAGGCGUCGACGGGUAGCCGGCCUGAGAGGGUGCACGGCCACAUUGGGACUGAGAUACGGCCCAGACUCCUACGGGAGGCAGCAGUGGGGAAUAUUGCACAAUGGGCGCAAGCCUGAUGCAGCGACGCCGCGUGGGGGAUGACGGCCUUCGGGUUGUAAACUCCUUUCGCUAGGGACGAAGCGCAAGUGACGGUACCUGGAGAAGAAGCACCGGCUAACUACGUG